rnacentral:rRNA from 1 species
UGUGGCGAUGAUAGCAAGAAGGAUACACCUGUUCCCAUGCCGAACACAGAAGUUAAGCUUUUCAGCGCCGAGGGUAGUGAAGGGUUUCCCUUUGUGAGAGUAGGACGUCGCCAUGC